rnacentral:rRNA from 1 species
AUCGAACGCUGGCGGCAGGCCUAAUACAUGCAAGUCGAACGAGUGGCGGACGGGCGAGCAAUUUCUGGGCAACUGCCUGACGUAGGGGGCUAACUACUGGAAACGGUAGCUAAUACUGCAUACCAUCAGUUGUGCCCAGAUGGGAUUAGAUUGUUGGUGGGGUAACGGCUCACCAAGGCGACGAUCCCCAGCUGGUCGGAGAGGAUGACCAGCCAAAAGGGGACGGCGACACGGUCGAGACUCCUACGGGAGGCAGCAGUGGGGAAUAUUGCACAAGGGGCGAAAGGCGGAUGCAGCCAUGCCGCGUGUGUGAAGAAGGCCUUCGGGUUGUAAAGUACUGUCAGCAGGGAGGCGUUACCCGCAGAAGAAGCAACGGCUAACUCCGGGCCAGCCGCCGCGGUAAUAC